UUUUGAAGCGAGUUAUGCGCAUUUCAAAUUGGAGGUGAGGCGCAGAGAAGCAGACAAUCGUUUUCUCUGCCGCCUCUCACUCUCUCACCUCCAAUUUUAAACGCGCAUAACUUGCUUCAAAA
rnacentral:sRNA from 13 species